CGGUCCUAGCGGCGGACGGGUGAGUAACGCGUGGGAACGUGCCCCUUUCUUCGGAAUAGCCUCGGGAAACUGGGAGUAAUGCCGGAUACGCCGGAUCAUCGAGAGAUGGUUUGGGAAAGAUUUAUCGGAGAGGGAUCGGCCCGCGUUGGAUUAGGUAGUUGGUGGGGUAAUGGCCUACCAAGCCGACGAUCCAUAGCUGGUUUGAGAGGAUGAUCAGCCACACUGGGACUGAGACACGGCCCAGACUCCUACGGGAGGCAGCAGUGGGGAAUCUUGGACAAUGGGGGCAACCCUGAUCCAGCCAUGCCGCGUGAACGAUGAAGGCCUUAGGGUUGUAAAGUUCUUUCAGCGGGGAAGAUAAUGACGGUACCCGCAGAAGAAGCCCCGGCUAACUCCGUGCCAGCAGCCGCGGUAAUACGGAGGGGGCUAGCGUUGUUCGGAAUUACUGGGCGUAAAGCGCACGUAGGCGGACCAGUUAGUUGGGGGUGAAAUCCCGGGGCUCAACCCCGGAACUGCCUCCAAAACUGCUGGUCUGGAGGUCGAGAGAGGUGAGUGGAAUUCCGAGUGUAGAGGUGAAAUUCGUAGAUAUUCGGAGGAACACCAGUGGCGAAG
rnacentral:rRNA from 1 species